UACAGAGGGGGCAAGCGUUGUUCGGAAUUACUGGGCGUAAAGGGCGCGUAGGCGGCCUGCUAAGUCGAACGUGAAAUCCCCGGGCUCAACUCGGGAACUGCGUUCGAUACUGACAGGCUUGAAUCCGGGAGAGGGAUGCGGAAUUCCAGGUGUAGCGGUGAAAUGCGUAGAUAUCUGGAGGAACACCGGUGGCGAAGGCGGCAUCCUGGACCGGCAUUGACGCUGAGGCGCGAAAGCCAGGGGAGCAAACGGG
rnacentral:rRNA from 1 species